rnacentral:tRNA from 2 species
GCCCCGGUAGCUCAGCGGUUAGAGCGCACGGCUGUUAACCGUGAGGUCGCCAGUUCGAUCCUGGCCCGGGGCG